AGUUCAUCCCAGCAUCUGAUUUCAUGCAUCCUCCACAUUUUAAUACCCUGAGUUCUCAUAAUUCAUAAGAGGGAGAGAGAGAGAGAGAGAGAGAAUUUUAACAAAACUUUAAUACAAGUAGAAAAUCAUGGUACAAUCAAAACCAUAAUUUACAUGAAGACAAAAGCAAAUCACAUAUAUAUAAAAACGAAUUCAGCUUCAAACAAACAACACAAAGCACCAUUACAGCACCAUUACAGCACCAAAUACUUUCAGAUGUGUCAAGAUCAUCCACAUGCUUAUAAUAAUUAAAAUCAGUCAAUAUCCUUGCUUGUACCAUAUUCAAAAAUAAAACAACUACAUUCUGUUCCAGGUUAUGUUCAACUUUCUUCUUCCUGCUUAUAUAAAGAGCCAGCUUGGCUUGACCUAAUAUAAAAUUCAACAAUUGACAAAAAAAUCUUCUUUUCCUUCCAUAAACCAAAAAUAAACACUUCCAAAGAAAAGGUAUCGCUACAACAUGUGAAAACAUUUCCUAGCAACAAAAACAAAACCUUCAAUCUAGCACAGUUCACAAAAGCAUGAAAAAUGUAGGGGUGCACGAUAAAUAUCGGCCGAUAAUUAAUGCACAUCUCGUCAGUAAAGCCGAUUCUCUAAUCAGUGGUAAAUUCCAUCAGGUGCUUGAUUUCACAUAGAGCAUCUGUUACUACACAGAGCCGUUGUAUAUUUAUCGAGCACCCCUAGAAAAAUGGUUUCCCUCUCCAUUCAGCACCAAUCUCUGGGUUCAAAACUGAAAUGAAAAAAAAUUACUGCAAUAGCACCAUAAAGGAUCCUCCACUGCAAGUCACCUGCUCUUUUGGUCAAUGGUGGUUUAUACAGUGCCCUCCAUUCAGUACACGCUGCCAUGCCAGGGGGGAUGCCAGUGCAAUGAUGGACUGGUGCUGGAUGGAGAUCACUGUGUUCCCCCCACUGGUUGCGGCUGCCACCAUGAUGGGCGUUAUCGGCAGCCUGGAGAGCAGUUCUGGCAUGGUGAAGAGUGUCAAUUCCUGUGUGUCUGUGAUGGAAUCACCGUAAAUGUCCGUUGCACACCAUCAUCAUGCAGUGAACAGGAGAUCUGCCGUGUGAUUUUAAUCAUUGGUAAAUGAAUGUUUCUGUUGAUUUCUGCUGUAAAUACAUUACAUUUCAUUGCAUUAUAUUCCCUGUUCACAGAUAAGUGGGUCCCACAGGAAGUGAAGGCAUCUGAGGCUUCUUGUCUGUGUGCUUCUCUGAUGCUGUUACUUGUUCAUCUGCUGAGUUUCCUGAACCUUUUUUAAUGCAAAGAUAAUGUAAUCUUUUACAUGCAUAAUUUUUAAUGCCAUUUUAAUGAAUAUUUGAGGGUUUCUAAAUUUCUCCUUGUCAUAAAUGUUAUUUUAUGUUCCAUAAUCAGUUUUACAUUAAUUGUUCUAUACUAAAUUAACUGUAAUGUACUUCAGAUUUUGUGCUAGAUUACCAAAGACUAUCAGAUUCUUGUGUUGAAAUAUGUUAUGUUAUGAUCAGGGUUAGA
ensembl:lncRNA